GACGAACGCUGGCGGCGUGCUUAACACAUGCAAGUCGAACGGAAAGGCCCUGCUGUUGUGGGGUGCUCGAGUGGCGAACGGGUGAGUAACACGUGAGUAACCUGCCCUUGACUUUGGGAUAACUUCAGGAAACUGGGGCUAAUACCGGAUAGGAGCGCCUGCUGCAUGGUGGGGGUUGGAAAGUUUCGGCGGUUGGGGAUGGACUCGCGGCUUAUCAGCUUGUUGGUGGGGUAGUGGCUUACCAAGGCUUUGACGGGUAGCCGGCAUGAGAGGGUGAACGGGCACAUUGGGACUGAGAUACGGACCAGACUCCUACGGGAGGCAGUAGUGGGGAAUAUUGCACAACGGGCGGAAGCCUGAUGAAGCAACGCCGCGUGCGGGAUGAAGGCUUUGGGGUUGUAAACCGCUUUCGCCGGUGACGAAGCGUGAGUGACGGUAAUGGGUAAAGAAGCACCGGCUAACUACGUG
rnacentral:rRNA from 1 species